UACGGAGGGUGCAAGCGUUGUCCGGAAUCACUGGGCGUAAAGGGCGCGUAGGCGGCUCAUGAAGGCUGUGGUGAAAGUCCGGGGCUCAACCUCGGAUCGGCCGUGGCGACUCGUGGGCUGGAGCACUGUAGAGGCGGGUGGAAUUCCGGGUGUAGCGGUGGAAUGCGUAGAGACUCGGAAGAACACCAGUGGCGAAGGCGGCCCGCUGGGCAGUGGCUGACGCUGAGGCGCGACAGCGUGGGGAGCAAACAGG
rnacentral:rRNA from 1 species